AUGGCUCGCCAGAGGUAUGACUCCCAGUGGAAGCAAGUGAGGAUCGUCAAUGGUUAUGCCGUGCUCGUGGUGUACGUGUUCUCCGCCAUCAGAGCGGUUGCCUUCCUGGUGGUCACGUGGUCCACGGUGGUGCUCCUCGGUGGCUUCAUCUCCAAGCUCCACAAGGUGGAUUUCAAGCAGAUCGCACUGAUUACCCUCAUAGAAAUGAUCUGGUCAGUAGUCCUAUAUCUUCUCGUUUUCUGUUCCACUUUAAUUAUACCUGCUAUUUCAUAG
rnacentral:rRNA from 1 species